rnacentral:rRNA from 1 species
UACGGGGGGGGCAAGCGUUGUUCGGAAUUACUGGGCGUAAAGGGCUCGUAGGCGGCCAACUAAGUCAGACGUGAAAUCCCCAGGCUCAGCCUGGGAACUGCGUCUGAUACUGGAUGGCUUGAAUCCGGGAGAGGGAUGCAGAAUUCCAGGUGUAGCGGUGAAAUGCGUAGAUAUCUGGAGGAAUACCGGUGGCGAAGGCGGCAUCCUGGACGGACACUGACGCUGAGACGCGAAAGCGUGGGUAGCAAACAGG